GGAAAACAACUUCCUUACACCAAAGUAUGGUAUGAAAAUCUCUCCACAAGGCUAUGAUUCUUCCUGGUACUGUUCCCUGAAGGAAGGCUUUUGCUAGCCCUAGGGACCUAGUGAUGUGGCCACAGAGUUUGAGUUUACGUUUUUCGACAGUGAGAUCCAAUUGCAGUAUUAAUCCUGUUUCUAAUCUCUUCACUCGUGAUGCAUUGCUUAAAAAACCUGAUAACAAAGGAGACCUUGAACGUGUGGAAGAAAAGUAUCACUAUUCAGAUGAUUCAUACAAAGAUACAGCAGUCGAACAAGUGAAAAUGUCUCUUGAUGAGAGAAGUAGUGCUGAAGAGACUCCAGGGGAAUACCUUUUACCACAGUCAGAGAAAACAUCUGAAGUAAGUGAUGAUGAGUCAAGUGA